GUAGGGAAUCUUCCACAAUGGACGAAAGUCUGAUGGAGCAACGCCGCGUGAGUGAAGAAGGUCUUCGGAUCGUAAAACUCUGUUGUUAGAGAAGAACGUGCAUGAUAGUAACUGAUCAUGUAAUGACGGUAUCUAACCAGAAAGCCACGGCUAACUACGUGCCAGCAGCCGCGGUAAUACGUAGGUGACAAGCGUUGUCCGGAUUUAUUGGGCGUAAAGGGAACGCAGGCGGUUUUUUAAGUCUGAUGUGAAAGCCUUCGGCUUAACCGAAGAAUAGCAUUGGAAACUGAAAGACUUGAGUGCAGAAGAGGAGAGUGGAAUUCCAUGUGUAGCGGUGAAAUGCGUAGAUAUAUGGAGGAACACCAGUGGCGAAAGCGGCUCUCUGGUCUGUAACUGACGCUGAGGUUCGAAAGCGUGGGUAGCAAACAGGAUUAGAUACCCUAGUAGUCC
rnacentral:rRNA from 1 species